GACGAACGCUGGCGGCGUGCCUAAUACAUGCAAGUCGAGCGAACCAAUAAGAAGCUUGCUUUUUGUUGGUUAGCGGCGGACGGGUGAGUAACACGUGGGUAACCUGCCUGUAAGACCGGGAUAACUCCGGGAAACCGGUGCUAAUACCGGAUAGAUUAUCUUUCCGCAUGGAGAGAUAAGGAAAGAUGGCUAUUGCCAUCACUUACAGAUGGGCCCGCGGCGCAUUAGCUAGUUGGUGAGGUAACGGCUCACCAAGGCGACGAUGCGUAGCCGACCUGAGAGGGUGAUCGGCCACACUGGGACUGAGACACGGCCCAGACUCCUACGGGAGGCAGCAGUAGGGAAUCUUCCGCAAUGGACGAAAGUCUGACGGAGCAACGCCGCGUGAGCGAAGAAGGUCUUCGGAUCGUAAAGCUCUGUUGUUAGGGAAGAACAAGUAACGGAGGAAAUGCCGGUACCUUGACGGUACCUGACGAGAAAGCCACGGCUAACUACGUG
rnacentral:rRNA from 1 species